CGUGGGAGGAGGGGCGGGAGGGAGGAGCGGGUCCCGCCGCGGGGCCUGCAGGAAUCGCUGGCUCUGGCUGCCACCUAGCGGACGGGAGCCGCGCCCGGGAGGCGCACAGCCGGGUCUCUCCUCCCCUCCCCGCAGGCAGCCUGCGCCUUUUCUCCAAACGGAGACAGCACUUUGAAAAUUCUUUCAAUGGAUUUUUUUCCUUGAAAGAUCGUACUGGGGAAAAUGAUACUUCUAUUAGUUACAUAUUCUCCAAUAGCACACUCGCACCCCCCUCGUUUUGAGAUCGCUCCCUAGGCAGGCUCAGGCGGGUGCGGAGCUGUGCGGAGUGACAAAGCCGCCGCGGCAGCCGCUGGGGGUGGGAGCCGCGCUCGCCUGCCCGCCCUUCGACUCGGGAGAGCGUAAAAGUUUGUCUCAGCUCCAGCAUCCCGAUCCUCAACACGCCCUCAGGUAAAGGUGGGAGCAAAUGGCCACGCUGUAUUGACAGAGACAGGGAUUGAGAAACGGAAAUACCACCACCCUCCAGCCAAACUUGUGAGGACUGAUUGCAGGGAAACUGGUGCUCCAGAUGUUGCACUAGAGGCGCUGCAAGUGUGAGCAGGUGGCAUUGGGCCUGCAUCACAGGUUGUAGCAGAUGUUCUCAACGUUUCUAUCGAGACCUCCUUAUAUCCACUUGCAAGAGGAGCCCAGGAGCCUCAUCCCUGUGGUAGCUACCAUUCUCUGAUAUAAGCUGUUGUUCACCAGGGAGCUUUGGCAAGAGAAUUGGCCAGAUCAGCGAGUUCAUCUCCCUUGGGGAAAAACAACUUGAAGCUCAUCUCUGUUGAAGAGGGAAUCGUUCCAAAUGUAUCUGUAAAUUUGGUCUGUGGAGGAGGUGAGUUCAGGAUCUUCUGUGCUGCCAUCUUGGAUUGCCUCUGGAGAUAAUUAAUUUAAUCAAGUAAUUUCUUCAGGGUAUGCAUUUCUUUGUUGUAAUCAUUAUCAACUUCACACACUGAGGCCAAAUCAUUCCUUAAAGUAGCUAUUUCAACUUAUGACUCAACCAGCACUCUAAUGAUAGUUGUUUUGGUGGAGGGACUGAUUCUAGAGCUUCCUACUCUGCCAUCUUCCAUGACACUGCUCCCUGCCAUGUCCACUCUUAAAAGUGUUCCAGUUUGGAAAAUAAUUUUUUUGGUCACCCAUUGGAUUAAUGGGAAAAACAGGAACUUCACUCUGAAUUUCUCCUGAAAUUUUAAUUUAAAGUUUACUUUUUCAAGACUCAUUUUGAAUUACAGAGAUCAUCUUCUACCUGUAGCCUCUUUUGGGAGGAUUUCCAAAAGAAUCCACUUCAAGGAAACACAGACUUGAAAACUCUCCUCCAUGGUUUUGUCUGAACUGGCUGCCAUUCUGCAGCACGCACUGGAUCCAGUUGCUGAAGUGGGGGAACCUGAGAGGUGCGUGAGCUGGCAAGAGUGACCAUUUAGGCGCGUGAGUCAAGUGGGCCUGCGUGAAAGGAUGUAGAUGUACUGUCUGUAGGACAGGGGUAGACUGAAUACCUGCUUCACUGAAUACCUGCUUCACAUCACCUUUCACAUUUUCUUAUUGGAAAGACAGCCGUUGGAGAAUCAUCUUGUUACCAUCAGCAAAAAUGCAAACAAAUCAAGACAUUAAGAAUGCCACAGUGGCCAGCAGUUAAUGAUGCCAGUGUUACACAAGCUUCGGCAAAGUUUUCAAGACAGUGUGCCUCACUAGCCAUAAAUCAGGAAAGAUUGAACUUAUCCUUUUUUGUCUCAGCUGUUCCUUAAAUCAAUGCAACCCCUCCAAAUUAAUGUGAAUUGAAACAUGCAUUGUCUUUUCAGCUUAAUUGAGUACUUACUAUGUGUGAAUCACUGCACAAAAUAGGGGAGGGAAAAUGAGGGAGACAAUUAGGAUGUGUUUCCUGCCUUCAAUGGAUUUACAAUUAGUUUCAGGGCACUUUUUUUCUUCUGCUCUUAAUUAAGUGUGUCCCUAAGAUAGAAAACAAAUGAAUGGAAAAGUGUAUUCUGCAAGUAUUUUAAAUCCCUUUAAUAAAACACAAAACAAAACAAAACAAAACAAAACAAAAUAAUCUAAUGUGGGCAACUCAGGACAUCUUCCAUUUUUUUGGAGUUUCAAUAGGUAGGAUUUAUUUCAUUGAUUUUAUAAAUAUUCAGUAGAUGUUAGAGAUAUUAACACAUUAUAGUUGGAGUUAAUUGAAUUAAAUUCUUUUUUUUCCCCUUUAGGUGUAGAUUGUCUGUUGGAAAAGUAUAUUGUGUUUGUACAUUUCUUGCAGAGUAGGUAGAUGAAUUACAUCUGUUGUCUCUGUAGGCCUCUACCUUCUGUGCCCUAGGGGCCUGACAUUCUGAGUAAGUUAUUAGCGUGGGGAAGGGAAGAUUUGGAUCAAACUUGGGAAAGCUCAUGGACCCAAGAUAGGGCAGGGAAGGAGCAAAACAGACCUAGGCAGUGACUCUGUAGGAAAACUUGGCUGUUUUAGUAUUCAUUGUGUUGUCUUCUAUGUUCCAAAAUUACUGUACAGUUUUUUCAAAAAUUUAUUUCUGAUCUGGGAAUAAGUCAUGAUUUUUCCAAUGUUAAGGCACUAAUAUGACUGCAGACACCAGACAUUUUAUGUAGUGUAUGUAACACAUUUUAGCAUGUACGAACCAACAAUAGACAUGUCUUUGUCUUCAGUAGUGUCCAUCUGAAUUGAAAAUGUGCCAGCUUUUUUUUUCUUAAAAUCAUUAUCAACAGACUUCUUAAUUAAGCUGCCAAUACAUACUGCCAAUAGCACCAUGUGCCCUUUGAGAAAUGAAUCGUGUAAGUGCUGUUUCCCUCUUACUGAAUAAACAAUGUUGCUCCAUAGAAAGUGGAUUUAAAAUGUUCUUUGAAUAGGAAAUUAUAUUGCUUCCGAAAGAAUUUGAUAAGAAUUCUCAUACCUUCCUUUCUUUACUUAAUUUCCAAAAACUUUUAUUUGCUCCUCAAUAAGGAAUAGUUCUAAUUUGACUGAUAACUUUAGUUGUAUGAGUCAUCCUUAAUAGGAUGCCUGCCCCCAAACUCCUGAUGGUGAUAGCGGAUAUUUGUUAACCUGAGUUACAAAACUAUAUUGUAUGAAACUGUAGCAUUUGUUUCCUAUUCUGGGAAAAAUUUGUGGAGGGACCAUCUCUGUGUUCCCAGAACCUAGCACAGUACCUGGUGCAUAGUAAGUAUAUGUUGAGUAACAUUUGGUGAUUAAAAUGUGUAAAGUAGC